GAAGUAGACUGUAUGCUGAAAGAAGUUUCAUUUUACCAUAAUAAUAACUCUAUAUUAACUCGACGGUACCACGUCCUCGACUUGGGGUCGCGUAGCUUGCGUCGGUUGUAAAUGAACGUGCUGCAUAUUAAUGUAUUUACUACUUGAUACCAAAUAACUGCCUGAUACAUAUAAAUAAUAUAAGAAUCAAAAUGGAUAAAUACUGUCAUCAUUAUCUAGAAAUAUUAUUAUUUAUAUGUAUAUAAAUCAAAUAAUCUGGAACUGCUUGAAGAACGAAGCUGCCUGCUAAAUCUAUAAAAAUACUUGUACGCCCAUUACACUCGAACGUUGUCUGCCUGCAUUACGUUCCGAUCUGAGCGGUACCACGAUACUAGCAACACCUUUAGAGAAGUCAUAAUUGCCUUGCCUGACUUCAUCGUGCAGCUCGCGCUCAGUUCUACACAUUGGACAUUGAUGUACUAAGUGCUACCUAAAUAAAUACCUAUAGAAUAG